CUAAAGCACAACCUGCUUGCUUACAGCCCUUGACGACACCUUCAACGAAACUAGUAGAAACCUUCAAAUCUAAUGAACCGGUAGCAAAAUAAUCCAAAAAUAUCAAAGGCUCAGCACCCUGAACAACCAAGUCAUUGACGUUCAUUGCUACUAAAUCAAUUCCAACAGUAUCAUGCUUAUUAAGGCUAAGAGCAAUUAACAACUUUGAACCGACACCGUCAGUAGCACUAACCAACAAUGGAUCAUUCCAGCCAGCUUGUUUGAGGUCAAAAAUACCGCCAAAACCACCGAUGUCAGCAUCUGCACCAGGACGACGUGUAGAUUUGACCAAAUCCUUGAUACGUUGAACAAAUUCAUUGCCAUUAUCAACUGAGACGCCUGAAUUCUCAUAAGUAAGGAUUUCGCGUGUCUUUCUCUUAGGAUUAAGAGCAUGGUGGGCAAUAUCUUUACGGUAGAACAUCUUAUCAAAAUGAACAGUUUUCACACCUUCGUAAGCUAAUCUAACAGCAGCCUCAACUGAAUCUCCCGUAGCCUCCACAGCAAGUACACGUCCUCCAUUGGUAAC